rnacentral:rRNA from 1 species
AUGAACGCUGGCGGCGUGCCUAAUACAUGCAAGUCGCGCGAACGGACGAGAAGCUUGCUUCUCUGAUGUUAGCGGCGGACGGGUGAGUAACACGUGGAUAACCUACCUAUAAGACUGGGAUAACUUCGGGAAACCGGAGCUAAUACCGGAUAAUAUUUUGAACCGCAUGGUUCAAAAGUGAAAGACGGUCUUGCUGUCACUUAUAGAUGGAUCCGCGCUGCAUUAGCUAGUUGGUAAGGUAACGGCUUACCAAGGCAACGAUGCAUAGCCGACCUGAGAGGGUGAUCGGCCACACUGAAACUGAGACACGGUCCAGACUCCUACGGAGGCAGCAGUAGGGAAUCUUCCGCAAUGGGCGAAAGCCUGACGGAGCAACGCCGCGUGAGUGAUGAAGGUCUUCGGAUCGUAAAACUCUGUUAUUAGGGAAGAACAUAUGUGUAAGUAACUGUGCACAUCUUGACGGUACCUAAUCAGAAAGCCACGGCUAACUACGUG